rnacentral:rRNA from 1 species
CGAUUCCAUUCCGAACUCAGAAGUGAAACGAAAUAGCGCCGAUGGUAGUGUGGGGUUUCCCCAUGUGAGAGUAGGACAUCGCCAGGC